UUAGAGUUUGAUCCUGGCUCAGGAUGAACGCUAGCGGCAGGCUUAACACAUGCAAGUCGAGGGGCAGCGAGAUCAGUGCUUGCACUGAUUGUCGGCGACCAGCGCACGGGUGCGUAACGCGUAUGCAACCUACCCAUUACAGGGGGAUAACACUGAGAAAUCGGUACUAAUACCCCAUAACAUCCAGGGAGGCAUCUUCUUGGGUUGAAAACUCCGGUGGUAAUGGAUGGGCAUGCGUUGUAUUAGUUAGUUGGUGGGGUAACGGCUCACCAAGACAACGAUACAUAGGGGGACUGAGAGGUUAACCCCCCACAUUGGUACUGAGACACGGACCAAACUCCUACGGGAGGCAGCAGUGAGGAAUAUUGGUCAAUGGACGCAAGUCUGAACCAGCCAUGCCGCGUGCAGGAAGACGGCUCUAUGAGUUGUAAACUGCUUUUGUACGAGGGUAAACGCAGAUACGCGUAUCUGUCUGAAAGUAUCGUACGAAUAAGGAUCGGCUAACUCCGUGCCAGCAGCCGCGGUAAUACGGAGGAUUCAAGCGUUAUCCGGAUUUAUUGGGUUUAAAGGGUGCGUAGGCGGUCGGAUAAGUUAGAGGUGAAAUCCCGGGGCUCAACUUCGGAAUUGCCUCUGAUACUGUUCGGCUAGAGAGUAGUUGCGGUAGGCGGAAUGUAUGGUGUAGCGGUGAAAUGCUUAGAGAUCAUACAGAACACCGAUUGCGAAGGCAGCUUACCAAGCUACUUCUGACGUUGAGGCACGAAAGCGUGGGGAGCAAACAGGAUUAGAUACCCUGGUAGUCCACGCAGUAAACGAUGAUAACUCGUUGUCGGCGAUACAGUGUCGGUGACUAAGCGAAAGCGAUAAGUUAUCCACCUGGGGAGUACGUUCGCAAGAAUGAAACUCAAAGGAAUUGACGGGGGCCCGCACAAGCGGAGGAACAUGUGGUUUAAUUCGAUGAUACGCGAGGAACCUUACCCGGGCUUGAAAGUUAGUGACGGAUCUUGAAAGAGGUCUUCCCUUCGGGGCACGAAACUAGGUGCUGCAUGGUUGUCGUCAGCUCGUGCCGUGAGGUGUCGGGUUAAGUCCCAUAACGAGCGCAACCCCUACCGUUAGUUGCCAGCAGGUCAAGCUGGGCACUCUGACGGGACUGCCGGUGUAAGCCGAGAGGAAGGUGGGGAUGACGUCAAAUCAGCACGGCCCUUACGUCCGGGGCUACACACGUGUUACAAUGGCAGGUACAGAGGGCAGCUACCCAGCGAUGGGAUGCGAAUCUCGAAAGCCUGUCUCAGUUCGGAUUGGAGGCUGAAACCCGCCUCCAUGAAGUUGGAUUCGCUAGUAAUCGCGCAUCAGCCAUGGCGCGGUGAAUACGUUCCCGGGCCUUGCACACACCGCCCGUCA
rnacentral:rRNA from 1 species